CCCUGGAAACGGGGUCUAAUACCGGAUACUGAUCAUCUUGGGCAUCCUUGGUGAUCGAAAGCUCCGGCGGUGCAGGAUGAGCCCGCGGCCUAUCAGCUUGUUGGUGAGGUAAUGGCUCACCAAGGCGACGACGGGUAGCCGGCCUGAGAGGGCGACCGGCCACACUGGGACUGAGACACGGCCCAGACUCCUACGGGAGGCAGCAGUGGGGAAUAUUGCACAAUGGGCGAAAGCCUGAUGCAGCGACGCCGCGUGAGGGAUGACGGCCUUCGGGUUGUAAACCUCUUUCAGCAGGGAAGAAGCGAAAGUGACGGUACCUGCAGAAGAAGCGCCGGCUAACUACGUGCCAGCAGCCGCGGUAAUACGUAGGGCGCGAGCGUUGUCCGGAAUUAUUGGGCGUAAAGAGCUCGUAGGCGGCUUGUCGCGUCGGUUGUGAAAGCCCGGGGCUUAACCCCGGGUCUGCAGUCGAUACGGGCAGGCUAGAGUUCGGUAGGGGAGAUCGGAAUUCCUGGUGUAGCGGUGAAAUGCGCAGAUAUCAGGAGGAACACCGGUGGCGAAGGCGGAUCUCUGGGCCGAUACUGACGCUGAGGAGCGAAAGCGUGGGGAGCGAACAGGAUUAGAUACCCUGGUAGUCCACGCCGUAAACGGUGGGCACUAGGUGUGGGCGACAUUCCACGUCGUCCGUGCCGCAGCUAACGCAUUAAGUGCCCCGCCUGGGGAGUACGGCCGCAAGGCUAAAACUCAAAGGAAU
rnacentral:rRNA from 1 species